UACAGAGGUCCCAAGCGUUGUUCGGAUUCACUGGGCGUAAAGGGUGCGUAGGUGGUCAGGUAAGUCGGAUGUGAAAUCUCCGAGCUCAACUCGGAAACUGCAUUGGAAACUACCUGGCUCGAGGGUUGGAGGGGGGACUGGAAUGCUUGGUGUAGCAGUGAAAUGCGUAGAUAUCAAGCGGAACACCAGUGGCGAAGGCGAGUCCCUGGACAACUCCUGACACUGAUGCACGAAAGCUAGGGGGAGCAAACAGG
rnacentral:rRNA from 1 species